UAAGAAAUAAUAAUUACCUUUCAGCCAGACAUGACUUACUCAGGGAAUCAAAGUCUUAAAUCACUACAAGGUCACACGCAUUCCAACAAUGGUGUCAUAUAUUCACAUUGUAAAAGGAAACCUCAGUUUUGUUUUAGAGGCCAUUGUCUCAACCGCUUGGCCACCUUGUCCUAUCCUAAUUUUAUUUUAAUAACCCAGCUUACAGCAGUGUAGUGUUUGUUAACAGUAGAUUUUAAAAAACUAUUACUUUAUACUCUGGAAUUUUAUUUAAAUUAAGCAUAUACUUUCUGCAAUAUUGCCCACCUUGGAAUUAGUGGGAAAAAUGAUUUGGCUGAUAAAAUGUUAUCAGACUCAUACGUUGAAGGAGAAAACUUUUCAGUAAAUUUUCACAUUAAGUGUAUCUCGGUUUUGUUUGGAUCAUUAACAGGAAGUCAGUAACUGACGCGUUACUAAAGAAUCAAACUACGAAAUCUUAGAUUAAAACUCCUAUCAUGAGAAAACGAAUAUAACAAUGUGCUGUCCUUUUAUAAGAAAAUAUACUUUUCCUUGCUCUGCAGCCCCACACUUUUCUUUUUCUUAGAAUGGACGGGCAACUUUGCAAGGUUCCCCUUUCAGUAUCAUUAUUUACAACACUCGGUUUCCAUAGAUAUGCAGAGACUGUUUCCAUAGCAACGUUCUGGGUUUCCUAAACAAAUAGUAUCAUAGCGUUAAUCUUGUUUCAGUAUUAUUGAACUAUGUUAUUAGAUACAAAAUUUCAAAAAAAAAUAAUUUAAGCAGGGCUUGAAACUAGGUGGGUUGGUUUUUAUCGCUUGGUGCUUUCAAUAUUAAAUUUCAAUCUUAUAUUAAAAUAUAUACAUCCAUUUGAAAAAUAGCAAGGAUUUUUGCAUAGUAAACAUGAUACCAAUUUUAUUCACUGGUUAUAAAACACUGUAAUUUAAUAAGAGGAUACUCUAAUACAUGCGCAGAAUUCGGGGAGAGGAUUACUAUCUUCAGAUAAAAUGACUGCUUCUCAGUGCACUUGGAGGGUUUAGCCUCCCCAGAUCUCCAAAGUCAUUUGUAACAACCCACCGCAAUAGCUCCCUUUGCUCUUUUUGCAUUUUAAGUAAUUUCUGCCAUUUUUUUUCCUUUUAUUUUUCCACUGCUGAGGCACAGCUGUGAAAUAGACUUCAGGAAAAUCUUUAUGAAUUCCUUGUUUGCCAGCUUAGAACAAAAGAGAAAAGCCAUUCUAGAAGGUUUGGGAAGGAUUUUUCUUUAUAAAGUUGCUUAUCAUUACCACUGAUUUCUUUUCUGGAGAGGAAAUCUCUUGGAUGCUUUCGUAAAUGAGCUAGAAUCUUACCCUGAUCUCUCAAGGCCUGUCUGAAAUGACAGCUUUGUUUAAUUGAAUUGAUAGUCUUUGACUUCUAAGGGUGAGGGUUAGCUUGCCCAUGGAGAGAAGACUGGUAAUACAUAAGUGAGAGGAAAUGUUGAUAGUGCUUUUUCUUAGAGGAGGAAGGGGUGUGUUGCUUUUUUCCUGCAAAAUGUUCAGACAAGACCUCUCAGUGGAGUGAAACUUUAUAUUUGGCUUUCUGACCAGUUUAACAUGUGGUUUCGGAAGCUCCUUUUCACUUCCUUUUUGGAUGUGUCUUCCUUUAAGAAUGUAUUUAAACUGGGCCUUCCCUACUACACUUAGCACUGAAAGGGACUGGGAUGUGCACUUACUAUACUAAUUUGCAUGCAUACAGAAAAAAAAAAGUCUGCUUAAGGGAGAGGAUCCAGUAACGGAUUUAAGUUGACAUUCAAAUUCAUAACCACCUUUGUGCAAGAGUCUGAGCUUGGGGCAGGCAGGUAAGGCAGCUUUGUAACUUAUUAGAUGUUUCUGAUACUGUUUAAAAUGUCCCCGAGUUUCACUUUCCUGUUCUAUGAAAUAAUAAAAAAAAAAUACCAGCUACUCCCCACAAUGCUUGGGAAAUUAGUUGGAUCCAUAUCCUUUGACUAGUAAAGGAUAGUCCCAAGCCAUAGCUUUCUGUUACAUGGUUCACGUUUUUCUUUUCUCAUUUGUUGCAUGGGUCCCGGUUGAGCCUGGUUCUUCUGUUGUCCUGGACAGAGCUGCGUCCACAGAAGUCUCACACCUGGUCAAGGCGCUUUGGCUCUCUGCCACACCUCCUAACAUCAACUGACACUUCGUAGCAGACAGUUUUCAUUCUCUCAGCCCACAGGUGAUCAGCAGCCGCGGGGGUAGAGAUAAAUAGGUGACUUAUUACUGACGUCACAGGGAGCUCCGUGCAGGCCUCAGAUGAACCAGGACAGAAUUUGAACACUAAGAUAUGGAGUACUGUGAUUAAAAACGUAAAUACCCUUCGCUCGCUUUCAAUGACAGAUUCUGGCAACAGGGGAAUCUCAUCAAAGCAAGAGAAAUGAAAGUAGAACAAAGUAUACAUCGGACAGAAACAGGAAAGGCAGGAGAUAGUUUCCACCUGCACGUGGCAAUAAAGCCAUGAGGUUUGAGUGAGUGGAAGAGUCACGACGGACGUCACAGUAACACAAUAAAGUGUGUGUGGUGUUGAGAACAGAGGAGACAAAGAAACCUUAUGCAGCAGAGAGAUCCCAGUCCUCUCAGAUGGGAUGGAGAGAAAAUAUUUGAGGGGAUCAAGAAAGACGUGAGUGCACAACAACAGAGCAACAUCAUGGGAGAAAUGCUUGCUAUUCUGCUAAGGAAUUCGCUUUGGACAAUUUUAACAAGCACAGUCAGUGUGCAGAAACACUAUGGGCUUCCUGCAUUCAUUCUCUCCAACUACCCUUUUGUAGCAACCCUUGUGUGACAAGAGUCCUACUGCAACGGUGGUCUCUCUAGGAAGCGAGUAUGGCUCUAACUAUGAGUGGAAGAUGGCUCUGCUCCUGUACAAAAAUCAUAAUUUCCAUCUCAAAAUUCUAUAUUCUGAGCAACAAGAUGGUUCACUCACCUUCUUUUUAACAAAGAAAAAGAUCUGAAGAGAUCUGAUAGCCAAAGGAUCAUCAGCAAAUUUAAGUGAGGAAAUUGAAAAUGUUGACAAACUGGCAUAAUUGUGUCAAAUAGUAUGUUGUAUUUUUAAAAAGACAGAACCAUACUGAAAUAAUGAACCCUUGGGGCUCAAGAGACUUCUCAGCAGUUACGAGUGUUCACUGCCUUGCAGAGGAUCAGAAUUCAGUUUAAACACCCAUGUUGGGCUCUUGAAACCACCUGUAACUUUAGAUUCAGGAUUCUGAUACUCUCUUUCUCCUCUUUGGUCAUCUUCACUUUUGUGCGCAUAACCAAACAUAGAAACACACACACACACACACACACACACACACACACACACACACCUAAAAAAAGUAUAAAUCUUUUUAAAAAUUUAAUUAUCUCGUCCUUCUGUUGCACUUUUCUGAAGUGUUCCCACAUGAGGGGCUUCAUUUGAAGAGAAUGACGAUCUCAUAAGAUGUACUAAGUUCUUGUGACUGAAACCAUUAGAAAAACCCUCAAAUUGUUUAGUUCUGGUAAGGUAAUAAGGUUCCCAGAAAGCAAGUGUUUCUCAAGAUUAAUUCCUCAUUAAAAUCUUGAAGACACACCAGUGAGCAUUUUCCUCCAUUUGAGCAUUUUUGAGCAUCUUUUCAUUUUGCUUUUGUUUUCUUUUUUUUCC